GAUGAACGCUGGCGGCGUGCCUAAUACAUGCAAGUCGAGCGAACGGACGAGAAGCUUGCUUCUCUGAUGUUAGCGGCGGACGGGUGAGUAACACGUGGAUAACCUACCUAUAAGACUGGGAUAACUUCGGGAAACCGGAGCUAAUACCGGAUAAUAUUUUGAACCGCAUGGUUCAAAAGUGAAAGACGGUCUUGCUGUCACUUAUAGAUGGAUCCGCGCUGCAUUAGCUAGUUGGUAAGGUAACGGCUUACCAAGGCAACGAUGCAUAGCCGACCUGAGAGGGUGAUCGGCCACACUGGAACUGAGUCACGGUCCAGACUCCUACGGGAGGCAGCAGUAGGGAAUCUUCCGCAAUGGGCGAAAGCCUGACGGAGCAACGCCGCGUGAGUGAUGAAGGUCUUCGGAUCGUAAAACUCUGUUAUUAGGGAAGAACAUAUGUGUAAGUAACUGUGCACAUCUUGACGGUACCUAAUCAGAAAGCCACGGCUAACUACGUGCCAGCAGCCGCGGUAAUACGUAGGUGGCAAGCGUUAUCCGGAAUUAUUGGGCGUAAAGCGCGCGUAGGCGGUUUUUUAAGUCUGAUGUGAAAGCCCACGGCUCAACCGUGGAGGGUCAUUGGAAACUGGAAAACUUGAGUGCAGAAGAGGAAAGUGGAAUUCCAUGUGUAGCGGUGAAAUGCGCAGAGAUAUGGAGGAACACCAGUGGCGAAGGCGACUUUCUGGUCUGUAACUGACGCUGAUGUGCGAAAGCGUGGGGAUCAAACAGGAUUAGAUACCCUGGUAGUCCACGCCGUAAACGAUGAGUGCUAAGUGUUAGGGGGUUUCCGCCCCUUAGUGCUGCAGCUAACGCAUUAAGCACUCCGCCUGGGGAGUACGACCGCAAGGUUGAAACUCAAAGGAAUUGACGGGGACCCGCACAAGCGGUGGAGCAUGUGGUUUAAUUCGAAGCAACGCGAAGAACCUUACCAAAUCUUGACAUCCUUUGACAACUCUAGAGAUAGAGCUUUCCCCUUCGGGGGACAAAGUGACAGGUGGUGCAUGGUUGUCGUCAGCUCGUGUCGUGAGAUGUUGGGUUAAGUCCCGCAACGAGCGCAACCCUUAAGCUUAGUUGCCAUCAUUAAGUUGGGCACUCUAAGUUGACUGCCGGUGACAAACCGGAGGAAGGUGGGGGUGACGUCAAAUCAUCAUGCCCCUUAUGAUUUGGGCUACACACGUGCUACAAUGGACAAUACAAAGGGCAGCGAAACCGUGAGGUCAAGCAAAUCCCAUAAAGUUGUUCUCAGUUCGGAUUGUAGUCUGCAACUCGACUACAUGAAGCUGGAAUCGCUAGUAAUCGUAGAUCAGCAUGCUACGGUGAAUACGUUCCCGGGUCU
rnacentral:rRNA from 1 species